rnacentral:rRNA from 1 species
GACGAACGCUGGCGGCGUGCUUAACACAUGCAAGUCGAGCGGUAAGGCCCUUUCGGGGGUACACGAGCGGCGAACGGGUGAGUAACACGUGGGUGACCUGCCCUCAGCUCUGGGAUAAGCCUGGGAAACUGGGUCUAAUACCGGAUAUGACUGCGCAUCGCAUGGUGUGUGGUGGAAAGUGUGUUCUUGGUUGAGCGCUUCGGCUGGGGAUGGGCCCGCGGCCUAUCAGCUUGUUGGUGGGGUGAUGGCCUACCAAGGCGACGACGGGUAGCCGGCC